GCGAGAAAACUUUGCAAUGUGCGAAAGCACGACAAGGUUAAUCCGAGUGGUUUCUGCUAAAGAAACCUUUUGUCAGUCCUAGAAAUACUAACGAAUAAGGGGUGGGCAAGUUCUGGUGUCAGCCGCCGCGGUAAAACCAGCACCUCAAGUGGUCAGGAUGAUUAUUGGGCCUAAAGCAUCCGUAGCUCGUUUUGUAAGUUUUCGGUUAAAUCCAUGCGCUUAACGUAUGGGCUGCCGGGAAUACUGCAUAACUAGGAAGUGGGAGAGGUAGACGGUACUCGGUAGGAAGGGGUAAAAUCCUUUGAUCUAUUGAUGACCACCUGUGGCGAAGGCGGUCUACCAGAACACGUUCGACGGUGAGGGAUGAAAGCUGGGGGAGCAAACCGGAUUAGAUACCCGAGUAGUCCCUGAGCGGGCUGGCAAGGCGCAU
rnacentral:rRNA from 1 species